UCGAGAGUUUGAUCCUGGCUCAGGAUGAACGCUAGCGGCAGGCCUAACACAUGCAAGUCGAGGGGUAGAGGAAGCUUGCUUCCUUGAGACCGGCGCACGGGUGCGUAACGCGUAUGCAAUCUACCUUAUACAGGGGAAUAGCCCAGAGAAAUUUGGAUUAAUACCUCAUAGUAUGUGAGAAUCGCAUGGUUUUUCACAUUAAAGUUCCAACGGUAAAAGAUGAGCAUGCGUCCCAUUAGCUAGAUGGUAAGGUAACGGCUUACCAUGGCGACGAUGGGUAGGGGUCCUGAGAGGGAGAUCCCCCACACUGGUACUGAGACACGGACCAGACUCGUACGGGAGCAGCAGUGAGGAAUAUUGGACAAUGGGCGCAAGCCCUGAUCCCAGCCAUGCCGCGUGCAGGAUGAUGGUCCUAUGGAUUGUAACUGCUUUUG
rnacentral:rRNA from 1 species